rnacentral:tRNA from 1 species
GCCUUUAUGGUGUGGUGGUUAGCACACUCCACGCGCAACCAAGAGGUCUAUGGUUCGAUUCCUGGUGAGGGCA